CAGCCGCCGCGGUAAAACGUAGGGUGCAAGCGUUAAUCGGAAUUACUGGGCGUAAAGCGUGCGCAGGCGGUUUGUUAAGACAGAUGUGAAAUCCCCGGGCUCAACCUGGGAACUGCAUUUGUGACUGGCAAGCUAGAGUAUAGCAGAGGGGGGUGGAAUUCCGCGUGUAGCAGUGAAAUGCGUAGAUAUGCGGAGGAACACCGAUGGCGAAGGCAGCCCCCUGGGCCAAUACUGACGCUCAUGCACGAAAGCGUGGGGAGCAAACAGGAUUAGAUACCCCGGUAAGUCCCUGUCUCUUAUU
rnacentral:rRNA from 1 species